GUCGCACUGUGAUGCUUUGACUACUGGGGUAAAGGCACACAAGUGAUCGUCACAAAUUCAGUUCCCAAAGCACCAAAUGUGUUUAUGAUGUCUCCGUGUGAAUCCUCACCUGGUUCCCUACUUGUUGGCUGUUUGGCCACUGGGUUUUCACCCGCUGAAUCUGUCAAUUUCAAAUGGAUGGAUCAGCGCGGAAAUUCUUUGACUAAUUUCAUCCAGUACCCCACAGUAGGAACUGGAAACAAGAUGUUGAAAGUCAGCCAUAUAACUAUUAAUGAAGCAGAAUGGAAUCAAAGUAAAAUUAUAUGUGAAGCAGGACACCCAUCAGGAAAUGUCACAGAAACAUUCACAACAGUGAAACCACAAACACCAACCCUGAGCUUGGUUCUUGUAACAACUCUGAAAAGUACAUCCGUCAUGUGUGUCAUUGAGGAUUUCUAUCCCAAGAAGAUCGAUGUACAAUGGAAAGUGAAUAAUACCAACAGCAUGAGCCAGCUAAAACUGGAACGCAAACUGAAUGAUACAGGUCAUUAUACAGCAUACAGUUUUUAUGAAGUCAGCAGAGAGAAUUGGGAUGUGAAUACUCAGUAUACCUGUGAGGUCACACACCGGGGAAAACCGUUUACCACGACAGCAUACUUCAAAGCUAAAUUUGCACUGACACUGAAGCCACCAAUUCAGAGAGAAAUAUUUUUAAAAAAUGAAGUUGUCUUGGAAGCUGUUGUUUCUGGAGAUAUAAAAGAUACAGUGGAAAAAGCUUCAGUGUCAUGCUCCGUGAAAGAAGCUAGAAUCGAUGUGAGACCAGGAACAGUCAAGUUUUCUAAUGACAUUUCACAGUUUAUAAAAAAACACAAUGUCACUGUUGACACAAAGAAAUGGUUUGAUGGUGAAAUGGUCACCUGCACCACCAGUGACACAAAUAAUAACGGAGACAUCGAGCAGAAGAUCCGUUUUCAUAAAGGAGAUGAAAAGAAACCAAGUGUUACCAUUUACAAACCCGAUAGUAACGUCACAGAUCCUGUCUCUCUGGUGUGUGAGGUCACCAGUCUUAAACUCGGCGAUGUCUAUAUCAUGUGGAGAGUGGGUAAAGAGCCUUACAGAGAGGGCACAACCAGUGCUCCCAUCCAUCAAAAGGACUCCACGUCUGUUCUCAGCAUCCUAACAAUGACAAAAGAAGAGUAUAACAACAUCAUCAUCUGCGCAGUCAAACAUGCCAACAUGGACAAUAUAAGUGCUCCAUUACAAGCUUCAACAAGCCAAAGUAAACAGCCAGAACUUUCAUGUGAUUAAUGUGCAAGCAUUUCCAAACUAUCAUUGUUCAUCUGUUGUUCAGUGUUCCAGUGCUUUUGUCCUGUUGCUGUCUCGUCAGAUUAUGUACAGUAUCUUUGAUGUUUUUUGUGCAUAUUUCUGUCUCUAUGUCUGUAUCACUUUACUGCAUGGGUCAAACAUCAAAGUCAAAUUACACUCAAGACUAUAUGUUUAAUUUGAUAUUUACUUACAUGUUGCAUGUAAGUAAAUAUGGUCACAUGAAAACAUUGUCAGAACAAUAUCAUAGAGCUUCUUUAUGUUUUGUUCCGUGCUCACUGUACUGCUGUUAGCCUAUAAUAUAACAUGCCAUUUUUGUGUUGUUUUACAAGCAAUAAAUAUUUGUUUGCAUGA